rnacentral:lncRNA from 1 species
CACAACUUUCGUAAGAAGAUUUCUGGUCUGUUCUCUUACUUUCCAGCCUCCAAACAGGUAACUUUUUACCAUUGUAAAAGUAAUACAAAUUUAUAGAACAAAAUUUGGAAAAUACCAAAGGUACAGCAGCAGAAAAAAAACCAAACAAACCACUCAAAUUCCCACUGUCGAGGAACAAAUAUUCGAUAAUAUUUUGUCUUAUUUGCCUUUAUACUUUUGUGUGUGCAUGUGCAUAUAUACAAAAUAUUAUAAUGCAUGAAUACAAUAAAUACAAAAGAGCAUUGUAUAUAUCGUUUUCAUUCACACAUGUACAGUUUUUAAAAAUGCAGAUCACUCUGUAAUAUUCAAUUAUAAUUUCUGUUUCUUUUGCUGAGUUUUGGUUGUGAACAGAUAAAAUUCAUUACAGAAUACACCAGGCUUAAGCACUUUGCAAAAGGGAUUAAAUAUUGCAUGACCGCGGGCUGUGUGACGGAAAUAGAAGGGGUCUCUCCUCUUCAGCAUAUCUGGGUCACAGAGACCCAGGCAUGAUGAGCUCAUUACAAACCCACAUUCUACAGUAUUGUUGCAAAGAGUCUUAACUAGCUCAGGAAUGUCAAAGUCUCAGCAUAUCUCAUGGUCUAUAAACUCUCACUUUAUAUGCAUGUAAGUGUUUUAUAUUUUGUGCCCGUGGGAUUUCCAUUUUGAGAUUGUUCUAGCCUUUUUCCUACAUGUGCCCCACAGUAUUUACUUAGAAUAGUUUUCAACCAUUUUAGUUCUCUGUCCUGUAACUUGGAAAGCUUGACUAAUACAAUCUUUCAGGCUGUCAAGAACUAAUAGUCAGAAAUUAAAUCAGUUCAGUUUACUCUUUCUCUGAAUAAAAAUGUGUGAGGAGCUAUGAUAAUCUAAUUCAUGGAAAAAUGGUAAACAAUGCAGACUAUCAACUUUCUAGCCUGUGUGUGAAAUGUCACUCUCAGAAAAUGAUGGCUAGGAAGUGAUGAUUUUCUCUGUAACUUGUAUGUUCACUAAAAAAUAAAUAAAGACUUGUUUCUCAUUCAAUAAAUGUUGCUGGAAAUCAGAUACCCGUGUGCAAAAAGUAGAUAAUAUUAAAAAAUAAAUUCCACCUAAUGUGGGACUAAAUAUGAAAAGCAAAACUUAAAAAAUGUAGAAGAAAAUAUAGAGAAAGUCUCUUUCCAUCCAUAAGGAAGAAAAGAAUUAUUAUUAUUAUUAAAAAAAUUUUUUUAACGUUUAUUUAUUUUUGAAAGACAGAGAGAAACAGAGUGCAAGCCAGGGAGGGGACAGAGAGAGAGGGGGAGACACAGAAUCUGAAGCAGGCUUUAGGCUCUGAGCUGUCAGCACAGAACCCGACCUGGGGCUCAAACCCACAAACCAUGAGACCAUGACCUGAGCCGAAGCCAGAUGCUUAACGGACUGAGCCACCCAGGCACCCCGGAAGAAAAGAAUUAUUUAAAGCAAAUCCUGAAUCAUGAAGGCAAUCCAUCAAUCAAUAAAAUACGUAAUAUGUUAAAUAUUAGACCAAAUGUUCCACAGUAAAGAUAACGAGCCACAGAUAGGAAGAAUAAAUACACUGAUAGUGUGUAUAACCCAUAAAAAAUUAGUAAUCAAACCAUUUAAAGUUGUCUAACAAGUCCCCCAGGAAGAGACCUAAAAAGGGGAACAAAAAGUGAAGGAGAAGAAGAAGAAAUUCACUGAAGAUGAAAUUUUCAUGGCCAACCGAGAGGUGCCAUGGUGUUAAAAGAGUGGGGGUGGGCUGGGAAAUAAAUGGACUGCCCCUUAGCAGAACAGGUGAGUAUAGUUUUGUGUAGUUACCAACUAGAAUACGUUGCUUGGAUUUUUGUAUUCUUAAAAUUGUUGAAAUGGUCUCGGUCUCUCUUUCCAACAAUUUACACAAAGCUACGAAACAGGAUUCAGUGCUAUGUAUGUAAGUUACAAUUUACGCGCCAACGGAGAGAACUGCACGGAGUAUGAUUUUGUUCGCAUAUUCUCAAAGCAAUGUGUUCUUUAACAACACAAGAACCGAGAGCUAAAACAAACUAAAUUUAUAUCAAAGAAAAUGGCUGUUCUUGCUAUGAGAAAGAAAAUGGCUGAAAUCUUAGGUGUCUUUGGAUGAGAUGGGAACAAUCGAAACGGAAAUAAAGUUGCUUUCUGAUUGCAAAUUUGUGUUGGAGUAAAAGAUAAUCUCAGAAUAGUGGAGAGUUCAUGGAGUACUAAGAGCUGAUGAGAGGUAAUUCCUAGAACAAAAAAACACAGGCUAGAACGAAUGGGCCAAACGAUAUUGUCUUGCUUUGGGAGGCUAGGAAGGUGGUCAGGUUAAGGUCUAUAAGGAAUUGUCAUGGGGGGAAGGCUGCAGAGUGCAGAAAAAAAUAAAGAAAAAAUCCAGCCACUUGAUGAUAGCACCAUCUUCCGAAAAUAAGGCUCUGAUCUUAUUUCCGUUUAAUAACGUUUGAUAGCUCCCAAUUUCCCAUAGUUUUGGGCUCGUACUCUUUCAGUAGCAAGUUUGGUAGCAUUGAAAAACCAUCAGUGUGAUUCCAAAAACCUUUGCAAAGACCAUUUCUAAGAAUCUGUCCCUCACCUCACCUCAGGACACUUUGCAUGUUACUCCAGGUGUCCACUGAGCACCCUGGGCAAGAGAUAUCACCAACGGCUCUAAGAUUUAGUUUCAAUUUAAAAUAAGUCCUGGGGCGCCUGGGUGGCUCAGUUGCGUCCGACUUCAGCUCAGGUCAUGAUCUCGUGGUUCAUGAGUUCGAGCCCCGUGUUCGGCUCUGUGCUGACAGCUCGGAGCCUGGAGCCUGCUUCAGAAUCUGUGACUCCCCCGCCUCUCUCUUUCCCCUCCCCAGCUCAUGCUCUGUCUCUGUCUCUCAAGAAAUAAAUAAACGUUAAAAAUUUUUUUUAAAUAAGUCCUUGCAAUGAACUCAUUGGUAAAUCCCUUUAAUGCCUUAAGGUUCAGAGAGAAGAUUCGGAUCCUGGGUCCUGCAGAUGACUCAGUGUUAUACAAAGCCUAAAACCUCCGGGUGGGGCCAGGGAGGCAUCCCACAUCAGUACAAUAUGGAAUUACCUAAUCUUUUAAUUAUUGGUUAGGAAACCAACCAGUUGCGAACACAGCAAGUCUUUUAUGACUUUAUGAUGCCAUUGUGUCUGUGAGCUCUCACCAUUGGCUUUGCAGAAUUUCUGUGUUAGUGAAAUUGUUGAGAUUGCUGGUCAAGAUUAUUUUGUAAAUUUUAUUUAUUUGUUGUUAAAAUAACACAGGCCACGUGGAAAGGAUUAUGUGGUGCCAUUUAGCAAUGGGUUGUGUCCCAUUUAAAUGCUUUUGCAUUGUAUACAGGUAAUAUUAAGAUGGGGCAACUCAUCCAUCUGAUCACCUACGAAAUGAGUGAGGUUCUACCCUGAUAACUGACCAAAUUUGGAAGUAAAAUCUAUUAAAUCUGCUUGAAGACACAUAUGCGUGUAUUAAACCAAGCGUGAGAUAGUUAAUUUCCCCGCUAUCUAGCUGCAAAUUUUUUUCAUUUUCCUUAUUUACUUUUUAUUAAUGAAAAACUCUUAACCAUCAAUUUUAGGUCCACAUUUUUACAUAGUACCUGACAGGAAAUUAGUAAAUAAACACCGAUAACAGCAAUACCCUGACUUCUCCCCUGCAACCUCUUCCCUCUGGGGAGUAGCUGGCCUCUGAUAUGUCACAAAGACUGAGCUCGAGGCUUCACGCUGCACUUGGAUGGGAGGCCACCGGUCUCUCGAGCCCAGCUGAUUAUUUUGUUUCCUGACCUUCAUCAGUAUGGGAACAGAAGAGUAGCCAGGGGAAGUCAGGAAAGUAGACCCUGGCUGUACAAAGUCACCGAAGCUGGAAGCCCAUAGGAAGAGGGCAGAAGGGCACAGCUAGAAUAGCUAAAUAGCCAGUGAGCGGGAGGUGGGCAUUUGCAGUGGAUUAAACCAGACAGUUGUGAUGCCUCACUGAGCACGAGUCACGCCCCAGUUCUGCUCCCGGGGUACCUUAACACUCAUAAGUAGCCUCCCCCCCUCAUGACGAAUGAAGACUUGCUCUGAUUGACGUCCCGUUUGUGUUAUUCACGUCUACAUGUUCCGCUCCCAGAUCUGUGUUCAAAGGUUUCAGCACUGACCUAAACCUUGACUGUUUAUACUGCAGACAGUCUUUUCGAUAAACUGGUGGUUUGAAGCCUGGGUGGUGGUAAUGGGGGAUCGGAAGGUGUGUAGGGCAGUGGGCAACACAGAGCAGACCAACUCACCAAUAAAACUGACCGUGAAACCUGGACGGACAAUUUUCUCUGGAACACCCCGGAGCAUUGGGCUACACUCUCAAUCCUAAAAUAAGGCCAAUGUUAGCCUCAUAUACGACGGUACAGUCAUUUAUCUCCAAAGCGGUUUUAGGCUCACAGUAAAUUUGAGGAAAAGGUACAGAGGUGUCCCAUAUACCCCCUGACUCGAUGUAUACACAGCCUCCCCAGUAUCCACAUUGCCACCAAGAGUGACACGUUUGUUACAAGUGACUGAUGAGCCCACACUGGCACAUCAUCAUCAUCCAAGGUCCACAGCUGACAUUAAGGGUCACUCUUGGUGUUGUGCAUUCUAUGGGUUUGGAGAAAUGCAUAAUGACAUAUAUCCACCAUUAUAGUAUCAUACAGGGUAUUUUCACUGCCCUAAAAAUCCUCUGUACUCUACCUGUUCAUCCCUCUUUCUCCCUAGUCCCUGGCAACCACUAAUAUUUUUACUCUACAUAGUUUUGCCUUUUCUAGAAAGUUAUACAGUUGGAAUCAUACACUGUGUAAGCUUUUCAGAUUUUUUUUUUCACUUAGUAAUAUGUGUUUACGUUUUCUCCACGUCUUUUCAUGGCUUGAUAGCUCAUUUCUUUUUGUUUCUUUUUAUUUUUUAUUUUUUUUAGCUCAUUUCUUUUUAGUGCUGAAUAGUAUUCUAUUGUCUGGGUGGACCGUGGUCUAUUUUCUCAUUCACCUAUUGAAGGUGAUUGCUUCCAGGUUUUGGCAAUGACGAAUAAACCUGCUGGAAACACCCGUGUGCAGGUUUUUGGGUGAACGUUAAGUUUUCAGCUUCUUUCAGUAAAUAAAUGCCAAGCAGCAAUCACGACAGUUUUAAGAAAAGAAUGACACAUGUCCUGGAAAAUCAGAGAAGCAGAAGAAAAGAAAAUGAAAACGUAAUCUGAGAUGGAGUUCUUGGGUUGUGCAAUCUGUGUUCGAAUCACUGGAAAGUAGGCCAGAGUGGGAUCCAGGGAGCUUCUCACCCAUGAAAUGAGUGUUUUGUGAGCAGGUAGUCUCUCCAUCUAUUGGGUCAGAGUCUGGAUUAGUCACACACUUCAGGUGACAGACUGGUGAAAACGUCGUCAGGGUUAAUCAAAGGGUAACAGACAUCUUUCCAUUAUGCACCUAUUCACUUCCUGUCCACUGACUACCCUUCUGCAUUGUAUCAUCAGCCACAGCAUUAUGCUUGGCAUGGAAACAGACACUGUAUAAGUGGCGGUGUUAUUUUCACGUCAGGGGCCGCUUACGGCGAUAGAGAGGUUUCUACGGUGUCACACUUUCCAGCGUAAAAGUCACACGUUUCCCCUAAAGUCAUUUAAUAUUUCAAUCCUGGAAUACUCCACGAUGUCAAACAAUCUGAAUCCUUUUACUUUUUGUUGUAGAAGUAGGUAAAGAAAACAUCAACGUACAUAAAAAUCCCACAGAGGUCCCUUGAAGUCAAGCAGUAGAUAAUACUGCCUGGCAGUCCGUCACAGUGCUGAGGAUUUUCAUGAUUCAGAAAACAUCACAGUUGGGUGAAACCAAUAGGACUUUUUAUUAAAUGUCACUCAGUCCCAGGGCUCGUUAUGCGUCUGCGUUCCACUCAUGGACUCCAACACUGGGGUUGCAGUCAAAAGACACCUUGAGUUGAACUUACAAAUCCUGUCAGUUAGUCUUCCUCUGGAAGUAAAGGGACAAGCAAGCACCACCCCACCCAGCUCCAAGCUCCAAUCACACACACACACACACACACACACACACGAGAAAGAAAGAAAGAAAGAAAGAAAGAAAGAAAGAAAGAAAGAAAGAAAGAAAGAAAGAAAGAAAAAGAAAUGAAGCCAUGUCUCAUUUAGGACAAAGAUGCACACUUCUCUGUGUUGUGCAUUUUUUUAAAUUUUCUUUUAACAUUUAUUCAUUUUUGAGAAACAGAGCAUGAAUUGGGGAGGGGCAGAGAGGGAGGGAGACACAGAAUCCGAAGCAGGCUGCUGGCUCUGAGCUGUCAGCACAGAGCCUGACGUGGGGCUCGAACCCACGAACUGUGAGAUAGUGACCUGACCCGAAGUCGGGCGCUCAACUGACUGAGCCACCCAGGCGCCCCCUUCUGUGCUGUGCAUUUAAGUAAAACAUGCACUUCUGAAGCCUAAAAUUAGCGGCAAAGGAAAUUUACAAGUCCCACUUACAAGUCCCCUUCAUUUUCAGAAUCGGUGCAUUUUCUGCAUGUGCACAGCACACAUGUUUCAUGGUGGCAUUGCUGUGUGUGGUCUCAUGGCAGUUGUGCACAUAAACACACAAACGGAAAGGCAGGUAAGAGUCCUAUCCUUCAGUGAGAAGGAUCACAGGGUAAACAAUGGUGACAGCGAGCGGUAUUGCCCGUCAGCACAGACAGACUUCUCCCCAAACCAGCAGCUGCUCCCAGGCGACCUGGCUGUGCUGUGCUCCCCCCACCACCUGCCAGCACCUGGCUGUCUACAGUCGCCGGACCCGGCUGUGCCUCUCCAGUCUGGUGGCGCACAUGUGAAGUGUAGACGCUAAGCUCCUCGACCCACAGACACGCACCCUUUAUCACACCAUCAGCAUAUCGUGUUGCAAUGAUCAACUUGCUUGUCGCCACCACUAGGCUGCAUGCUUCCUGAAGGUUGACCCUGGGUUUGACGUCCAGUGGUGGUGCUCCAUACGUAUUCCUGGAAUGAGUAUGUUGCCAUGGCAGCAUGAAAUCAACGUAAUUUUGUGGUUGUCGUUAAUGUGAAGGAUGUAAAUAAUACAGUUAAAUCUACACAACUGCUACCCUGUAGGCCAUGACUAAUAUUAAUUGGUAUCUCCAUUCCUAAUUACACAUUCGUGUUCCUGUUGAUGUUUCUACAAUGAACAAAACGCUGGCUCCGGGAAAAUCCCCAUUCUUUGGAAACAAUGGCAGGAGAACACAUGUGUAUUCCCACUUCAUGCAAGAGACUUCCAUGGGUAAAAAUAAGUUGUGCAUGUUUGAUGAUGAACUCUGGAAAAAGAAAAGAAAAGACAUGUCUGUUGUUCCGGGCCCUGAGUUGUUGUUUGAAAGUGUUUAAUGGAGACGGAUGUUGUUGCCAUCACUUAGGGAUCGUAUAUAUAUUUCAACAUUUUCAUUCUGUUCCGUUUUCACACUUUCGUGUUUGGCAAUAUUGGGCAGCUGUAUGCACACACUGAAUUUUGAGCCACAAAAGUAGGGUAAGUCACCUAAAACGCCUACUGCGUUUGCCUUCCAGGAUAGAUAAAUCAUAGUAAUUUCUACCUUAGAUUCUUUUCUCAGACCUCCAAUAAUUAUUUCUAAUCUAAUUCUUAAUUUCUAGUAUUAUUAUUUAUUUUACUUCUAUAUGGUUUCCUAUGAAUAUCAAACGGCUCAAAACUAUCAUUAGUUGUCAUAACCAAAUUUUGGUCAUUUUGAUAAAAUCCAACAUACUACUUAAAACUCUUCCUUCGGGGCGCCUGGGUGGCGCAGUCGGUUAAGCGUCCGACUUCAGCCAGGUCACGAUCUCGCGGUCCGUGAGUUCGAGCCCCGCAUCAGGCUCUGGGCUGAUGGCUCAGAGCCUGGAGCCGGUUUCUGAUUCUGUGUCUCCCUCUCUCUCUGCCCCUCCCCCGUUCAUGCUCUGUCUCUCUCUGUCCCAAAAAUAAAUAAACGUUGAACAAAAAAAAAAAAACAAAACUCUUCCUUCAAAAUAGCACAAAUUGCAGAAAUAUUCUUAAUUCAGUGCAGGAUAUUUUAUUUAUAUUUACAUGGUUUACAUUGCUAGGUGUGUAGUCAGGAAAUUUAAAUGAUCGUAGUUGUGGCCUGAUUUCCCCCACAGAUACCGACAGAGAGGUAAAGGAAGGUGGGUUGCAGAUCACUGAGCGAUUACGAGGUUUUCCUCCUAAUAAAGAUUCGGCUGAUGCCUGUUUUUUUCAAAGUCUGGCGGAGUAUUUCACGGUAGUAACAGGCAUCUGGUUUUGGAUUUCUGUACUUGAAAAUUUGCAGUAUUUUCAGAUCAAACUUGUUGUAAGGGAUCUGAAUGCGUAAAGUUCGUUAUAACUGUAAAACGAGAGACGAGUGGUUCUGGAUUCUCCGUGGGCCUGAUCUCUGGCUGACCAAGGGAUUUGCUGACUGUGUCCUUCUCCGGGCUCCGAGGGGUGGGGGAGGCUGGCUGCCAUUCACCCCCCGCUGAGAGUUGCAUCCACCAUCUGCCCGCUCUCGGCUUUGCUUCCAGAACAGCCGCCCGGGUCACUUAUUUUGACUAAGAUGUAUCAGAAUUGGAAAGUUUGAAAAAUGGAUGGAAAAUGUUCAUCCUACCGAGUCUUAGAUGGUCAUGGUUCGACCACUUCAGAAACUCCAGGAAAACAAUCCUUGGUGGUAUGGAAUCCCGUGAAGUGUCUGCACGACGGUAUUUGUGUUGGAUUCUGUUCCAGUUUCCAACGUUCUUCCUGUUUUCAAGGGAUGCUUCAUCUCUGCAGCACUGGAUUUAAAACACGUCUGCAAAUUUUUGGACCAUCAGGAGGUGGAAACUAACCCUUCCCCUUGAAGAUGGUCUGGACUUCGAGACGAACAGAAUGAGGUAAAAGUGAACUAGCCCCUAGAAAGCCAUCGCAUCUUGGCACCCCGACCCCCCGCCCCAAUCUCUCUCUGUCUUCUGGGGUGUUUGCUCUUGGAGAUGUGCCACCAUACUCUGAGGGAGCCCCCACCGUUCGGAGAGGCCAAGAGUAAUACUGCAGCUAGUAAUGAUAUGAAUGCUACGUGAUUAAUCCUGGCAGUGAAAUAUAAGCAGGGUGGGUGUAUUUCCUUUCCAAGCAAAACAAUGAACACCCCAUGUUUCUCUUUUCCUACAGCAAAUCAGAGGUGCAUCUGGGGUGUAUUUACACGGCACAGCUAUCUGACGGCGGUGUUUUCAUCUGUCUGGGUUCCUGAAUGAGUAACAAGCAAACACAUAUGCAAGUCCUUGACUCACGGACCCUUAAUUAUUAGGCUUUUAAAGGAAAUAUGUGGAAACGUAUAGGAAUGCAUAAAAA